GAUGAACGCUAGCUACAGGCUUAACACAUGCAAGUCGAGGGACCGGCGCACGGGUGAGUAACACGUAUCCAACCUGCCCUUUACUCGGGGAUAGCCUUUCGAAAGAAAGAUUAAUACCCGAUAUAAAGGAUGGGGAUGCGUUCGUGUAGGUUGUGGGUGAGGUAACGGCCAACCAAGCUUUCGAUGGCUAGGGGUUCUGAGAAGAAGGUCCACCACAAUGGAACCGCGACACAGUCCAAUCUCCGACGGGAGGCAGCAGUGAGGAAGACUAGUCAAUGAACGUUAGCCUGAACCUGCCAAGUAGGGUGAAGGAGGAUGGCUUAUGAAUCAUAAACUUCUUUUAUAUAAGAAUAUGUAUUAUAUGAAUAAGGAUCGGCUAACUCCGUGCCAGCAGCCGCGGUAAUAC
rnacentral:rRNA from 1 species